rnacentral:rRNA from 1 species
GAUGAACGCUAGCGGCAGGCCUAAUACAUGCAAGUCGAACGGUGUCUCCGGACAUAGUGGCGCACGGGUGCGUAACACGUAUGCAACCUACCUUACAUUGGGGGAUAGCCUUUCGAAAGGGAGAUUAAUACCGCAUAAGACAGUAGCUGGGCAUCCAGCAGCUGUUAAAGAUUUAUCGAUGUAAGCUGGGCAUGCGUCCAAUUAGCUAGUUGGUGAGGUAGCGGCUCACCAAGGCAAUGAUUGGUAGGGGAACUGAGAGGUCAAUCCCCCACACUUGCACUGAGAUACGGGCCAGACUCCUACGGGAGGCAGCAGUAGGGAAUAUUGGGCAAUGGACGCAAGUCUGACCCAGCCAUGCCGCGUGCAGGAUGAAGGCGUUAUGCGUUGUAAACUGCUUUUAUACAGGAAGAAACGACUCUUGCGAGAGGCAUUGACGGUACUGUAUGAAUAAGCACCGGCUAACUCCGUGCCAGCCGCCGCCGUAAUAC